ACAGAGGUCCCAAGCGUUGUUCGGAUUCACUGGGCGUAAAGGGUGCGUAGGUGGCGAGGUAAGUUUGAUGUGAAAUCUCCAGGCCUAACCUGGAAAUGGCAUUGAAUACUAUCUCGCUUGAGGGUCGGAGGGGAGACUGGAAUGCUCGGUGUAGCAGUGAAAUGCGUAGAUAUCGAGCGGAACACCAGUGGCGAAGGCGGGUCUCUAGACGACUCCUGACACUGAGGCACGAAAGCUAGGGGAGCAAACAGGA
rnacentral:rRNA from 1 species